AUGGACAAAUUAAGGAGAAAACCAACGGUCAGAGACAAUAAAUGCUGGUUGAAAAGGCAGAAGUUCUCCAUUGUUAUUUUCUGGUUCCACACAACACAACGCAGACUCGAUCGUGGUGUCAGCUACAGACCGGCUACACCAGCACGCCGACUCAAAAACGUCCGCCGGUGCAGAGUCCUCCACCAAAGAGACGACGAAUUGCAUUCGCCAAAAGGGAGAGAGCAAAACAUGUCAGAAAGAAAUUGCUGUGCAGACGGAUCCCCCUCCACGGACACACCACAAGUCCAUGUGUCCAUGUUCACUGUCAGGUCAGCUGGACUGCAAGUUCCAAUCCAAGUUGGUUGUUCCAAAGGAUCUCCGCCAAAUCCAGGAUCACCGUCACCAUCAUCCGCAUGUUCGCUCCCGUCUGUGUCUCCAUCUUGA
rnacentral:lncRNA from 1 species